rnacentral:rRNA from 1 species
UACGUAGGGGGCAAGCGUUGUCCGGAUUUAUUGGGCGUAAAGAGCGUGUAGGCGGCUUGGUAGGUCCGCUGUGAAAACUCGAGGCUCAAUCUCGAGAUGUCGGCGGAAACCACUUGGCUAGAGUCCGGAAGAGGAGAAUGGAAUUCCCGGUGUAGCGGUGAAAUGCGUAGAUAUCGAGAGGAACACCUGCGGCGAAGGCGGGUUGCUGGGCUGACACGUGACGCUGAAGCGCGAAAGCUAGGGGAGCGAACGGG